UACGGGGGGAGCAAGCGUUGUUCGGAUUUACUGGGCGUAAAGGGCGCGUAGGCGGCCACCGCAAGUCAGUUGUGAAAUCUCUGGGCUUAACCCAGAAAGGUCAACUGAUACUGCGGGGCUAGAGUGGCAGAAGGGGCAACUGGAAUUCUCGGUGGUAGCGGUGAAAUGCGUAGAUAUCGAGAGGAACACCUGCGGCGAAGGCGGGUUGCUGGG
rnacentral:rRNA from 1 species